UCAACAAUUUCAGCCACUAGCCCACUCCAUUUCUGCCCAGACCACCCAGCCCAACAGAAAUCCCAAUUCUCACCGCCCCAGCCCACUGCCUGAACGACCCGGCCCAAAUCCGUUCACCUGUAUUAUUUUCUCAUUCACCCGCAACCUGAAACAAACACCAACAACAACGUUAUCAUUAAAAAAAAGACGCGUACAAUAGCAAAAAUACGUGUAUAAUAGCUCAAACAAACAUUAACCACCGACAACAACUUCAGCAAACACAAGCAAUUUCAACGCAGUAACAGAACAACGGCUAAAACAGCUCAGCAAACGAGGUUCCAAUUCCACGUCAAACCGAUCUCAAAUUUUGAAAUUCAAAUCUCAAUUCACUUUUUCUUUUUACCCCUUCGUUUCCCGCAAAAUCAGUGGCAAAUUCCCUAUAAAUACCCAUGUCCGUAGAGUGAAGGAGCACUUCUCUCACGGAACUAAGAAGUUCUCGGUGAAAUUCAUCUAAAUGUAUGGAAAUCGUCUGAAUUCCCACGAUAACGAUUCAACGCCGGUAAGUUCAGGUCAAGUUUUGGUGGUGGGAAUCCGUCGUGAUAGACUCGUAAUCCCGGUUCCUGCUCCGAAAAAGCUCAUCUUGAACGAGUCCGAUCGAACUCCUCUUAUCCUUGCAUUCGAACACCGUCGAGUCGAGCCUCAUUAAAGCCAAAAAUUGGACUGAUAUACACAUGAUAGCACGUAUACAUGCUGGUAUAUGCUGAUAUACAGCGUUUAUACACUGAAAGUCGUAGCUGCAUACCACCAUACAAUGUACAAUGAAAUAUGGGGAGGGAAUAUGCUAAUUUCUAUGUUGAUAUACAAUAUGUGGAGAUAUACAGAAAAACGCUAGGGUGAAGGGCUGGGAUAUACAGUCAGUAUACAGCUCAGUAUACACUGCAGAAAUGGUCCAAAAGUCCCCAAUUCAAAGCCCAAAGCUGGGCAGCUGGGCCAAUUAAGGGCCCAAUUCUAUUCUUGUAUAAUUUUUGUAGCUUAUAAUUCAUCUUUGUUUAUGUGUACUGACUUUUUAAUCAAUUAAUCUAGGUAAAUUUCCUAAGA